UUUAAAUUUAGAGUUUGAUCCUGGCUCAGGACGAACGCUGGCGGCGUGCUUAACACAUGCAAGUCGAGCGAUGAAGCUUCCUUCGGGAAGUGGAUUAGCGGCGGACGGGUGAGUAACACGUGGGUAACCUGCCUCAAAGUGGGGGAUAGCCUUCCGAAAGGAAGAUUAAUACCGCAUAAUAUAGGAGAAUUGCAUGAUUUUCUUAUCAAAGAUUUAUUGCUUUGAGAUGGACCCGCGGCGCAUUAGCUAGUUGGUAAGGUAACGGCUUACCAAGGCAACGAUGCGUAGCCGACCUGAGAGGGUGAUCGGCCACAUUGG
rnacentral:rRNA from 1 species